rnacentral:snoRNA from 1 species
UUGCAAUGAUGAUUAAAUUUCUAUAGCAGAAACAAUGUGUUGACUUAAAUGAGCUUUUUAAAUCUGAGCAAA